GGGGAUGUAAAGGUUUCGACGGGGGUGUAGAAGGAGCAUAAGCGAGUCGCAGUCGCCCGGUCUGCGUAAAAAAGGGCCGUUUAAAUAUAAACGCUAAAGAAAAUAAUAAUUUUGCACUAGCUGCCUAAGCAGCGUGCGGUUAGCUUCGGUUUCCCUGUAGGCCAAAGAUCUAACCUCGAAUCAUACAGGACAACCUUAUGAACUUUCCCGGAUUCAUAAGGGACUUACGGGAUAGCAAAUUUGUAAGCCUGCCGUUAGGCGUACAAAGGCGUGAAACUCAAAUUAUCGGCUAUGCUCGAAGAAAGUGCUUUGGACAUGCUUUCGGACAUGGGUUCGACUCCCAUCAUCUCCACCA
rfam:Eubacterium nodatum ATCC 33099 contig00004, whole genome shotgun sequence.